AGGGUUAUAGUAUAAUUGGUAAUACUCUAGUCUCCAAAACUAGCAUUAUGGGUUCAAAUCCUAUUAAUCCUG
rnacentral:tRNA from 1 species